UACGUAGGGUGCAAGCGUUAAUCGGAAUUACUGGGCGUAAAGCGUGCGCAGGCGGUUCGCUAAGACAGAUGUGAAAUCCCCGGGCUUAACCUGGGAAUGGCAUUGGUGACUGCACGGCUAGAGUGUGUCAGAGGGGGGUAGAAUUCCACGUGUAGCAGUGAAAUGCGUAGAGAUGUGGAGGAAUACCGAUGGCGAAGGCAGCCCCCUGGGAUAACACUGACGCUCAUGGCACGAAAAGCGUGGGGAGCAAACAGG
rnacentral:rRNA from 1 species